rfam:Theobroma cacao cultivar Matina 1-6 chromosome 4, whole genome shotgun sequence.
AGGAGCCCAACAGGAGCGACAUGAGAACACAUGUGGCCACUCUUGAAGGACAAACCUUAUCCUGUGUGUUUUGAUGUGUUCUCAGGUCGCCCCUGCAGGGCUUUC